AGGCGAAAGACUAAUCGAACCAUCUAGUAGCUGGUUCCCUCCGAAGUUUCCCACAGGAUAGCUUGAGCGCACACAGUACGGUUUUGUCAGGUAAAGCGAAUGAUUAGAGGCCUUGGGGCUGAAACAGCCUUAACCUAUUCUCAAACUUUAAAUGGGCAAGAGGCGCGGGAUGCUUGAUUGAUCCCGCGCGGCGAACGGCGCGCUCCAAGUGGGCCAUUUUUGGUAAGCAGAACUGGCGAUGCGGGAUGAACCGAACGUGAGGUUAAGGUGCCGGAAUGUACGCUCAUCAGACACCACAAAAGGUGUCAAUGCAUCCAGACAGCCGGACGGUGGCCAUGGAAGUC
rnacentral:rRNA from 13 species